UACGAAGGGGGCUAGCGUUGUUCGGAAUCACUGGGCGUAAAGGGCGCGUAGGCGGCUUUGUAAGUCGGGGGUGAAAGCCUGUGGCUCAACCACAGAAUUGCCUUCGAUACUGCGAGGCUUGAGACCGGAAGAGGUUAGUGGAACUGCGAGUGUAGAGGUGAAAUUCGUAGAUAUUCGCAAGAACACCAGUGGCGAAGGCGGCUGACUGGUCCGGAUCUGACGCUGAGGCGCGAAAGCGUGGGGAGCAAACAGGG
rnacentral:rRNA from 1 species